rnacentral:misc_RNA from 1 species
UUUUUAACCAUUACUUAGAAAAGGUACAUGUGAAUCUCAAUCAUAUCAAUAAAGAGCCAGUAGAAAGUAAACUUAGCAAUUUUGACAAAUCAAGCCAGUAAUUGCAUGAUCGCUGAUGGGCUUUGCCAUACUAUAAUGUUAAUUUACCAGAAGAAAGGACUUCCUAUCUGGGCCUUGGGCCUAUUUGGCUAACAUCUUCAUUUUCUAGAUCAUAUUAGGACAUCAUCUUUGUUUGUGUACUGCCUAUCUAGGAUACACUUCAGUAAUUGAUGCUUCGUCGACGGGCAAGGGUGUCGAAACGCUCGUAGGUUGAUCCAACUGCACUUCCUUUGUCACUGUAUUUUGCUCCCUUCUACCAUCAAAGAAAAAUCCUGGCUGUUUAGGCAAUGGUUGAGUAACAGAGCGACUGCUAAGCAUAAGAACAAUUGUUGCCAUUGUAGGUCUUUCAGCUGGAUCUUGCUGGACACAUAGUAAGCCUAUAUGAAUACAUCUGGUUACUUCAUUUCUUGAACAAGAACCUCUCAGAGUCGGAUCCAACACAUCCAAUGCCAUCCCAUCUUUCCAUUUUUUCCAAACGUAGCUCAUGAGGUCGCCUGAGAAUGAACCGUUCUUCUUUCCGGUUACUAUCUCAAGAAUUAAGACACCAAAACUAUAUGCAUCAGACUUUGUCGAGAACUGUCCAUGCAUUAUGUAUUCUGGAGACAUGUAACCA